CCCAACUAUCCCUAUUAAUCAUUACAUCGAUCCUAGAAACCAACAAAAUAGAAUCGGAUGUCCUAUUUCAUUAUUCCAUGCUAAUGUAUUCAAGCGUUAGCCUGCUUUAAACACUCUAAUUUUUUCAAGGUAACAGUCCUAAUUCCCCAAAACAUCAAAUUAAUGACAUUAAGGUUCCUUAGAAGGUGAGAACCAAUGAGGCCAGUACAUACCGAGGGCAUGACCGACCCAUUGAUCCCGAGGUUCAACUACGAGCUUUUUAACUGCAACAACUUUAAUAUACGCUAUUGGAGCUGGAAUUACCGCGGCUGCUGGCACCAGACUUGCCCUCCAA
rnacentral:misc_RNA from 1 species